ACUCAAAUGAAUUGACGGGGACCCACACAAGCGGUGGAGCAUGGGGUUUAAUUCGAUGAUAAGCGAAGCACCUCACCCAGACUUGACAUGCCGAGAAGUUUUGCGAAAGCAGAAUGUGCCGCAAGGAACUCGGACACAGGCGUUGCACGGUCGUCGUCAGCUCGUGCCUUGAGGUGUACUGUUAAGUCAGCGAACGAGCGCAACCCUCAUCCUCUGUUGUAUUUUCAGGGGAGACUGCCGCCUCCAAGGCGGAGGAAGGUGGGGAUGACGUCAGAUCAGCGUGACCUUUAUGUUUGGGGCGACACCCGUGCUACAAUGGCCGGUACAAAGGGCAGCGAAAUCGCGAGAUGGAGCCAAUCCCAGAAAACCGGUCUAAGUUCGGAUUGAAGUCUGAAACUCGACUUCAUGAAGCUGGAAUCGCUAGUAACCGUGGAUCAGCCAUGCCACGGUGAAUAUGUUCCUGGGUCUUGUACACACCGCCCGU
rnacentral:rRNA from 1 species